GACGUAGGGCGCGAGCGUUGUCCGGAUUUAUUGGGCGUAAAGAGCUCGUAGGCGGCUCGUUGCGUCAACCGUGAAAACCCGGGGCUUAACUUCGGGCUUGCGGUUGAUACGGGCGGGCUGGAGUUCGGUAGGGGAGACUGGAAUUCCUGGUGUAGCGGUGAAAUGCGCAGAUAUCAGGAGGAACACCGGUGGCGAAGGCGGGUCUCUGGACAAUUCCUGACACUGAUGCUCGAAAGCUAGGGGAGCAAACGGG
rnacentral:rRNA from 1 species